rnacentral:misc_RNA from 1 species
GAUGAAGAACGUAGCGAAAUGCGAUAAGUAGUGUGAAUUGCAGAAUUCAGUGAAUCAUCGAAUCUUUGAACGCACAUUGCGCCCUUUGGUAUUCCAAAGGGCAUGCCUGUUCGAGCGUCAUUUGUACCCUCAAGCUUUGCUUGGUGUUGGGCGUCUUGUCUCUAGCUUUGCUGGAGACUCGCCUUAAAGUAAUUGGCAGCCGGCCUACUGGUUUCGGAGCGCAGCACAAGUCACACUCUCUAUCAGCAAAGGUCUAGCAUCCAUUAAGCCUUUUUUUCAACUUUUGACCUCGGAUCAGGUAGGGAUACCCGCUGAACUUAAGCAUAUCAAUAAGCGGAGGA